GACGAACGCUGGCGGCGUGCUUAACACAUGCAAGUCGAACGGACAGACAGAGAGCUUGCUCUCUUGAAGUUAGUGGCGAACGGGUAAGUAACGCGUAAUCAACCUGCCCUUCAGAGGGGGAUAACAACGGGAAACCGUUGCUAAUACCGCGUACGAUUCAUGAACGGCAUCGUUUAUGAAUGAAAGGUGGCCUCUAUGUAUAAGCUAUCGCUGAAGGAGGGGAUUGCGUCUGAUUAGCUAGUUGGAGGGGUAACGGCCCACCAAUGCAAUGAUCAGUAGCCGGUCUGCGAGGAUGAGCGGCCACAUUGGGACUGAGACACGGCCCAAACUCCUACGGGAGGCAGCAGUGGGGAAUCUUCCGCAAUGGACGAAAGUCUGACGGAGCAACGCCGCGUGAGUGAUGAAGGUCUUCGGAUUGUAAAGCUCUGUUAAUCGGGACGAAAGAGUUCUGCGUGAAUAAUGCAGAAAAGUGACGGUACCGGAAUAGAAAGCCACGGCUAACUACGUGCCAGCCGCCGCCGUAA
rnacentral:rRNA from 1 species